rnacentral:rRNA from 1 species
CCUACGGGAGGCAGCAGUAAGGAAUAUUGCACAAUGGACGAAAGUCUGAUGCAGCAACGCCGCGUGUCCGAAGAAGGCCUUCGGGUUGUAAAGGCCUUUUCUGGUUGAAGAGAACGGACAGUAACCCAGGAAUAAGUGUCGGCUAACUACGUGCCAGCAGCCGCGGUAAU